UACAGAGGUCCCAAGCGUUGUUCGGAUUCAUUGGGCGUAAAGGGUGCGUAGGUGGCGCCGUAAGUCGGGUGUGAAAUUUCGGAGCUUAACUCCGAAACUGCAUUCGAUACUGCGGUGCUUGAGGACUGGAGAGGAGACUGGAAUUCAUGGUGUAGCAGUGAAAUGCGUAGAGAUCAUGAGGAAGACCAGUGGCGAAGGCGAGUUUCUGGACGGUAACUGACGCUGAGGCACGAAGGCCAGGGGAGCAAACGGG
rnacentral:rRNA from 1 species